rnacentral:rRNA from 1 species
UGGUUAAAAAGCUCGUAGUUGGAUCUCGGCGGUCUGAGGGCGGUUCGCUUGAUUGAGUGCUACUGCUCUAUAGGCCGUGGUUUUGCCAGAGGUCUCGGGGUGCUCUUAACCGAGUGUCCUGCGAUGCUGGCAGGUUUACUUUGAAAAAAUUAGAGUGCUCAAAGCAGGCUUUUACGCCUGAAUAUUCGUGCAUGGAAUAAUAGAAUAGGAAGUCGUUUCUAUUUUGUUGGUUUUCGGAAAUCGACUUAAUGAUUAAUAGGGACAGUCGGGGGCAUUUGUAUUCAGACGACAGAGGUGAAAUUCUUGGACCGUUUGAAGACAAACUACUGCGAAAGCAUUUGCCAAGAAUGUUUUCAUUAAUCAAGAACGAAAGUUAGAGGUUCGAAGGCGAUUAGAUACCGCCCUAGUUCUAACCAUAAACGAUGCCAGCUAGCGAUCUGCCGACGUUUUCUUUGUAGACUCGGCAGGAAGCUUCCGGGAAACCAAAGCAUUUGGGUUCCAGGGGAAGUAUGGUUGCAAAGCUGAAACUUAAAGGAAUUGACGGAAGGGCACCACCAGGAGUGGAGCCUGUGGCUUAAUUUGACUCACACGGGAAAUCUCACCAGGCCCGGACACAGGAAGGAUUGACAGAUUGAUAGCUCUU